rnacentral:rRNA from 1 species
AGCGGCGGACGGGUGAGUAACACGUGGGUAACCUGCCUGUAAGACUGGGAUAACUCCGGGAAACCGGAGCUAAUACCGGAUAGUUCCUUGAACCGCAUGGUUCAAGGAUGAAAGACGGUUUCGGCUGUCACUUACAGAUGGACCCGCGGCGCAUUAGCUAGUUGGUGGGGUAAUGGCUCACCAAGGCGACGAUGCGUAGCCGACCUGAGAGGGUGAUCGGCCACACUGGGACUGAGACACGGCCCAGACUCCUACGGGAGGCAGCAGUAGGGAAUCUUCCGCA